GUGAACGCUGGCGGUAGGCCUAACACAUGCAAGUCGAACGGCAGCACAGUAAGAGCUUGCUCUUACGGGUGGCGAGUGGCGGACGGGUGAGGAAUACAUCGGAAUCUACUUUUUCGUGGGGGAUAACGUAGGGAAACUUACGCUAAUACCGCAUACGACCUACGGGUGAAAGCAGGGGAUCUUCGGACCUUGCGCGAUUGAAUGAGCCGAUGUCGGAUUAGCUAGUUGGCGGGGUAAAGGCCCACCAAGGCGACGAUCCGUAGCUGGUCUGAGAGGAUGAUCAGCUACACUAGAACUGAGACACGGUCCAGACUCCUACGGGAGGCAGCAGUGGGAAAUAUUGGACAAUGUGCGCAAGCCUGAUCCAUCCAUACCGCGUGGGUGAAGAAGGCUUUCGGCUUUUAAAGCCCUUUUGUUGGGAAAGAAAAGCAGCAGGUUAAUACCCCGCUGUUCUGACGGUACCCAAAGAAUAAGCACCGGCUAACUUCGUG
rnacentral:rRNA from 1 species